GAUCCUGGCUUAGGACGAACGCUGGCGGCGUGCCUAACACAUGCAAGUCGAACGAAUGUACUAGAAAUAGUACAUUAGUGGCGGACGGGUGAGUAAUACAUGAGUAACCUGCCUUAUACAGGGGGAUAACACCUAGAAAUGGGUGCUAAUACCGCAUAAUAACCUAUUAUGGCAUCAUAAUAGGAGGAAAGGAGAAAUCCGGUAAAAGAUGGACUCAUGUUCGAUUAGCUAGUUGGUGGGUAAAGGCCUACCAAGGCAACGAUCGAUAGCCGAACUGAGAGGUUGAUCGGCCACAUUGGAACUGAGAAACGGUCCAGACUCCUACGGGAGGCAGCAGUGGGGAAUAUUGCGCAAAUGGGGGAAACCCUGACGCAGCAACGCCGUGUGAAGGAAGAAGGCUCUAGGGUUGUAAACUUCUUUGAUUAGGGACGAAAAAAUGACGGUACCUAAAGAACAAGCCACGGCUAACUACGUGCCAGCCGCCGC
rnacentral:rRNA from 1 species